rnacentral:rRNA from 1 species
GGGCCCGCACAAGCGGUGGAGCAUGUGGUUUAAUUCGAUGAUACGCGAGGAACCUUACCAGGGCUUAAAUGUAGUCUGACAGGGGUGGAAACACCCCCUCCUUCGGGCAGAUUACAAGGUGCUGCAUGGUUGUCGUCAGCUCGUGCCGUGAGGUGUCAGGUUAAGUCCUAUAACGAGCGCAACCCCUGCCGUUAGUUGCCAGCAUGUAAUGAUGGGAACUCUAACGGGACUGCCGGUGCAAACCGCGAGGAAGGUGGGGAUGACGUCAAAUCAUCACGGCCCUUACGUCCUGGGCUACACACGUGCUACAAUGGCCGGUACAGAGGGCAGCCACACCGCAAGGUGGAGCGAAUCCUUAAAAACCGGUCUCAGUUCGGAUCGGGGUCUGCAACUCGGCCCCGUGAAGUCGGAAUCGCUAGUAAUCG